GGAGCAGCCUCACUGUUGCCCGUCGCCACCCACAUAUACCCACACAAACACCACACACACACACGUACACACUCGCCCAUGAAGCACUCCACGGUGGCCCCGUCCUCGUCGCUAGAGCUGACGAAGAAGCCGUUUCUGGCAGACAUCCUCCGCAAGGCUGCGGAGCGGCUCUGCCACAAGCAGCUGUGGCGUGUUGCGAGCCAGCUGGAGCGUUUCCCAUCGCCUGCCUCGGCAGACAUGGUGCGCGAUGCGCUGCGGGACAUUUCCGUCUUCCUCUCCGACGAGGAUUACGCGCACAUGUGCGAGGCCUACGCCACCGGCGCCACUGACGGACAGCAGGGUUGUAGGAUGAUCGACACGUCGGCUCUCAUUGAGAGUCUGAGCACAGCCUCGCUGACGUCGCGCAGGAAGCACGUGGUGGACCUUGUUAUCCGCAAGCUAGACCCCAAGGGCACCGGUACUAUCUCCUACAUGACCCUAAGUGACCACUACGACGUGCUGCGGCAUCCAGAGGUGCGAAACGGCGCGCGCUCCGAGGACGAUGUGUUGCUUGCUUUCUUCGACAACUUCUGCGCGGCCGACGGCACACCCAUGGUGCAGCUGACAGCGGCAGAGAUGCGCAUGUACUGCGUCGGUGUUUCGAUGCGGAUCAAGGAUGACACCGACUUCGAGCUGUGGUGCACGCGGGCGUUUUGCCUCGAUCGACCGAAGCUAGAUCAGAGCCAGGCGACGGUGCAGCUGACCGGCUCGCGCAGCCACUCCCGUCUGAGCCGUCUGCUUGGCGAGGGCCGCCAGCACCCGCUCUACACGACAACAAACGAGGAGUACGGAAAGGAGUCGACACCCUCGGACUACAAGCUGCCGCAGCACGGCCGCCCGCAGCAGUUCACGCGCAACUUGAAGCAGCGCACCGGUGGGGCGACAUCUAUGAACAUGUAGGCUGGGAUGGAGGGAGAAGGAAACAAGCUAGGCCAUCGCUCGAGUCUGGCAGCAACUCUGCGCGGACGUGCCUGCACAAACACACGUGUGUGCGCCAAGCUGAGGUUCAGCAUGUAAAAUAGGAAAAAGGGUGCGUGCACGUGGGUCCGUGUGUGUUGGGUGUUGUCUUCAUGGCGAAGGAGGGGAGGGGGAGGGGGGGGCGUGCGCCGAGUUCUUCUACCCCCUCUCUUUUGUCCUGUGAGCGUCUCAGCCACCCCCCCGCGCCUUCCAUGAACGCCUUACCCACACACCGACACAUCGCCUAUCCCGGCACGAGGACGAAUAACACCAACAAUAAAAGCGGAUAUGCGAAGAGGACCGCCACACAUGAAAGGAG
rnacentral:misc_RNA from 1 species